rnacentral:lncRNA from 1 species
CACUGGUUGGUCCAAGAAGUCAAGCUGAGAUACGUUAGUCAAACUGAUAUCUCUCAUAGGACACGGUGAGUUUUUAUACAUACAGAGUAGCAUUCUGUUUGUGAGAUGUGGCGUAAGUGAUGUUAUGGGUAUAGGCCUAUGAAAUGCUUUGAUUAAGCUCCAUUAUGUGUCUUUCAUAUUUGAUGGAAAACCAUAUCUAUUAAGGCAUUAGGGAAGACAGGUCAGAUGUUAGGUACGGACUAGGGAGGGUACGGGUAGAGGAAGACAGGUCAGAUGUUAGGUACGGACUAGGGAGGGUAACAGGAAGACAGGUCAGAUGUUAGGUACGGACUAGGGAGGUACA